GUUUCCCUGUAGCACGAUGGAUAGCGCAUUGAAUUUCUAAUCCAAAGAUCGUGGGUUCGAAUCCCAACUGAAAUU